UACGUAGGGUGCGAGCGUUAAUCGGAAUUACUGGGCGUAAAGCGUGCGCAGGCGGUUUUGUAAGCCAGAUGUGAAAGCCCCGGGCUUAACCUGGGAAUGGCAUUUGGGACUGCAAGGCUGGAGUGUGGCAGAGGAGACUGGAAUUCCUGGUGUAGCAGUGAAAUGCGUAGAUAUCAGGAGGAAUACCGAUGGCGAAGGCAGGUCUCUGGGCUGACACUGACGCUCAUGCACGAAAGCGUGGGGAGCAA
rnacentral:rRNA from 1 species